GGCCACGCGUCGCUCGUUUGCAUUUUCUAAGGUUUUGCUUGAUAUGCAUAUAUCGAGAAUUAACUUUAGCGGUUACCAAUGGAUCGGGAAGUACAAAAAAGUAAGACCUAUGACCAGAUGUCGAUUAAGGAACAAAAAGAGAAAAGAAGAAAGAGCUUUUGAUAACGAAGUUUUGUUAAGAAAUCCUUAUUUUUCACGAGAAGAAGAAAUUUUGGCCCCUUCUAAACCAAAGUUAGUUCCUUGGUCUAAGGAGCUAAGAGCCAAAAAAGCGAAGUGUAUUAAGACACCCGAUACUUUUACUUUUAAAUUGCUACGUGAAGUAAAAUUUAUUCCAGUUGAAAAAAGUUCUUAACUAGCCUAUUGGCGUUAACCGACGUCAUAUUUAGUUUUGGCAGAAGCUUAAAAUGACUAGGUCUUAUUAACUAAAGAUCUUUUUUAUUAUAAAUGUAAAUGUAAUAAAAAAGUUUAUUUUGGAA